rnacentral:rRNA from 1 species
CAGUAGCGUAUAUUAAAGUUGUUGCAGUUAAAAGCUCGUAGUUGGAUUUCUGGCUUGAUUUGCCUGGCCCGCUGCGAUUACGUAUGUGAGUGCCGGUGCGCAUCUGCCAUCCUUCUAGAAAACGUCUCUACUCUUUACUGAGCCGGAUUCGCGAUCUAGAUCUUUUACUUUGAAAAAUUAGAGUGUUCAAAGCAGGCUCGCGCUAUGAAUACAUUAGCAUGGAAUAAUAAUUUAGGACUUUGUUUCUAUUUUGUUGGUUUCUAGAGAUAAAGUAAUGAUUGAUAGGGAUAGUUGGGGGUGGCUAGUAUUCAGCGGCCAGAGGUGAAAUUACUUCGGAUUCGCUGAAGACUAACUUAUGCGAAAGACAUUCACCAAGGAUGUCUUCUUUAAUUCAAGAACGAAAGUUAGGGGGAGUCGAAGACGAUCAGAUACCAU